UGAGCAACCUGCCCCUGGCUCUGGGAUAACCCCGGGAAACCGGAGCUAAUACCGGAUACGAGACCGAUUGGCAUCUAUACGGUCUGGAAAGUUUUUCGGCCAGGGAUGGGCCCGCGGUCUAUCAGCUUGUUGGUGGGGUAAUGGCUCACCAAGGCGACGACGGGUAGCUGGUCUGAGAGGAUGGCCAGCCACAUUGGGACUGAGACACGGCCCAGACUCCUACGGGAGGCA
rnacentral:rRNA from 1 species